rnacentral:rRNA from 1 species
AUGACGACGGCGGUGACGGACUUGUCGGAGCAGAAGAAGGUGCUGGAGCGGCGGGCGUACUGCUCCGAGAACUUGCGCAUUAUCUCCAGCGACUUGUGCUCCGACGCCGCCCCGUCGGCGGCGGCUGUCCCCUCUCCGGCCGCUGCCACGCCCAGCAAGGGAGCAAGAAUCGAUUUUUCAGAUUCAGAUGAUUUGGAUUUGGGAUUGGAGGGUUGGUUGACAAGGGACGCGUACCUUGGGCUCGGACGGCGCACCUGCUGCGCCGCCCGCCCCUGGAGACGAGCGGCGUGUAGACCGGGCUGCCGGCGGCGGCGGCGGCGGUGGAGGUGA